rnacentral:rRNA from 1 species
UACAGAGGUCCCGAGCGUUGUUCGGAUUUAUUGGGCGUAAAGGGUGCGUAGGCGGCGGAGUAAGUUGGGUGUGAAAUCCCGGGGCUUAACCUCGGAAUGGCAUUCAAUACUGCUUCGCUUGAGUACUGGAGAGGAGGCUGGAAUUUACGGUGUAGCAGUGAAAUGCGUAGAUAUCGUAAGGAAGGCCGGUGGCGAAAGCGAGCCUCUGGACAGUUACUGACGCUGAGACACGAAGGCCAGGGGAGCAAACGGG